GACGAACGCUGGCGGCGUGCUUAACACAUGCAAGUCGAACGGAAAGGCCCUGCUUUUGUGGGGUGCUCGAGUGGCGAACGGGUGAGUAACACGUGAGUAACCUGCCCUUGACUUUGGGAUAACUUCAGGAAACUGGGGCUAAUACCGGAUAGGAGCUCCUGCUGCAUGGUGGGGGUUGGACAGUUUCGGCGGUUGGGGAUGGACUCGCGGCUUAUCAGCUUGUUGGUGGGGUAGUGGCUUACCAAGGCUUUGACGGGUAGCCGGCCUGAGAGGGUGACCGGCCACAUUGGGACUGAGAUACGGCCCAGACUCCUACGGGAGGCAGCAGUGGGGAAUAUUGCACAAUGGGCGGAAGCCUGAUGCAGCACCGCCGCGUGCGGGAUGACGGCCUUCCGGUUGUAAACCGCUUUCGCCUGUGACGAAGCGUGAGUGACGGUAAUGGGUAAAGAAGCACCGGCUAACUACGUG
rnacentral:rRNA from 1 species